GACGAAGGACCCCAAGCGUUAUCCGGAUUCAUUGGGUUUAAAGGGUGCGUAGGCGGGUUGAUAAGUCAGUGGUGAAAGCCCAACGCUUAACGUUGGAACUGCCAUUGAUACUGUCGAUCUUGAAUGUGUUUGAUGUGGGCGGAAUAUGACAUGUAGCGGUGAAAUGCUUAGAUAUCGUCAAGAACACCGAUAGCGAAGGCAGCUUACUAGACUGUAACUGACGCUGAGGCACGAAAGUGUGGGGAUCAAACAGGAUUAGAUACCCGUGUAGU
rnacentral:rRNA from 1 species